rnacentral:misc_RNA from 1 species
UCCGUUUUAUCAACGGCAGUCUCAACAGAGUUCCCGGCAUUACCCGAUGGCAACUGUUGAUAAGGGUUGCGCUCGUUGCGGGACUUAACCCAACAUCUCGCGACACGAGCUGACGACAGCCAUGCUGCACCUGUGUCCAGGUCCCGUAAGGGAAGGAAUCCACCUCUGGAAACCGUCCUGGCAUGUCAAACGCUGGUAAGGUUCUGCGCGUUGCUUCGAAUUGAACCACAUGCUCCACCGCUUGUGCGGGCCCCCGUCAAUUCCUUUGAGUUUUAGCCUUGCGGCCGUACUCCCCAGGCGGGGCACUUAAUGCGUUAGCUUCGGCACGGAGGGAGUCGACACCCCCCACACCUAGUGCCCAUCGUUUACAGCGUGGACUAC